CUUCCUGAUUGAACAGAACCACGCGUUGUCUGUGUGGUUUACAAGUUUCUUGGCGAUAUGGGGGGAAAGUUCCUCACAUACCAACGGAAAAUGGGCUUCAUAUACAUGCUGCUGUCUCAUAAUAUGGCGAAGACGAGUCACCUGAAGGCCUAACUCGCCAUAGAAGACUGAAAGAAUUGUCCUGCAGGAUGCUGUGUCCUGCAAUCCUGUGUGCUGUGCUACAGACGCGUGUGGAGGUCAACCCAAAAUGGGCACAGUCUCACCACAGAAGAGUGAAAGAGGAUCCUGGCAGGGAGACAGUAGUGUCCUGCAGAAUGGUGAUGGGCCAAUCUUACAAGAGACCACAGAAAACUGAUAUAGUGAACUAUAGAAACAACAGUGCCUGCUGCAGUAUAACGAGGACACCCUGAGCAGAGAGCUCCAAUAGACCCAGGUCCAGUGUCUUGGCAGGGUGAAAUGGCACUGAUAUGGUGUCCUGCAGGAUGCUGUGUCCUGCAAUCCUGUGUGCUGUGCUACAGACGCGUGUGGAGGUCAACCCAAAAUGGGCACAGUCUCACCACAGAAGAGUGAAAGAGGCUCCCAGAAGUGAGACUGAGUGCCUGUUGCAGUAUGACGAGGACGCAGUGACCAGAGACCUUCAGUAGACCCUGCUGGCAUGAUUGGCGUCUGAAGAACAUGAAAUCAACAGCAAUGUUUAUAAUGUUGUACAUACCUGUAUAGUCUGUAUUAAAAGGCAGUACCUGUA